ACUGGCUGUUGCAUACAGGGUUGUCGCAACAGAAGCGAACAAUGAUACUAUAUGACAACCUUUCCUGUAGACACAAGAAGAAAGGCAUUAUGGGCUACAACAUAUCGGGAAAGAAAACUGGAAACCUAAGCCAUAUUCAUCUAUUUGUGAGGUACAUUUUGACAAGGAAAUGUGGGAAAGACUUCGACAAAACGGAAAAAAAAAAUUGAAAAGAUAUGCAGUACCAACAAUUUUUCCAGUUCAAUAAAAACUUCUUGGAGUAGUUGAAUCUGUAGGAUUGGAAACAAAGAGAAACGACAAAAAUAACGAGGAAAAUAUUAGUAAACAUAUAACAAUUGAUUCUGUGGACGAUCCUAAUAAUAAAACAUUUCAAAAUAAUGAUAGCAAUGAAAACAUUAACACUGAAUUCAUAAAUACUGAUAAAGAGCGUCCUGAAAACGAAAAUAAUAACAACACACAUAUAUCUACAGCAACUAUAUCCAAUAUUACAUCAUCUAUAUCAGAGUGUGCUCUCCAACAAAUAAAAUUAUUGCAUCAACAACUUGAAGAUAAAGAUGUAGAAAUAAAAAAAAUGAAACAAAGACUCGAGAA